rnacentral:rRNA from 1 species
GAUGAACGCUGGCGGCGUGCUUAACACAUGCAAGUCGAACGAGAAGUGAAGACGGAAACCUUCGGGCGGAAGGCUUUAUUUCGAGUGGCGGACGGGUGAGUAACGCGUGGGUAACCUGCCUCAUACAGGGGGAUAACAGUUGGAAACGACUGUUAAUACCGCAUAAGACCACAGCACCGCAUGGUGCGGGGGUAAAAACUCCGGUGGUAUGAGAUGGACCCGCGUUCGAUUAGCCAGUUGGCGGGGUAACGGCCCACCAAAGCGACGAUCGAUAGCCGAUCUGAGAGGAUGACCGGCCACAUUGGGACUGAGACACGGCCCAAACUCCUACGGGAGGCAGCAGCGGGGAAUAUUGCACAAUGGGGGAAACCCUGAUGCAGCGACGCCGCGUGAGUGAAGAAGUAUUUCGGUAUGUAAAGCUCUAUCAGCAGGGAAGAAAAUGACGGUACCUGAGGAAGAAGCCCCGGCUAACUACGUG